rnacentral:rRNA from 1 species
AGGAAUAUUGGUCAAUGGGCGAGAGCCUGAACCAGCCAAGUAGCGUGAAGGAUGACUGCCCUAUGGGUUGUAAACUUCUUUUAUAAAGGAAUAAAGUCGGGUAUGGAUACCCGUUUGCAUGUACUUUAUGAAUAAGGAUCGGCUAACUCCGUGCCAGCAGCCGCGGUAAUACGGAGGAUCCGAGCGUUAUCCGGAUUUAUUGGGUUUAAAGGGAGCGUAGAUGGAUGUUUAAGUCAGUUGUGAAAGUUUGCGGCUCAACCGUAAAAUUGCAGUUGAUACUGGAUAUCUUGAGUGCAGUUGAGGCAGGCGGAAUUCGUGGUGUAGCGGUGAAAUGCUUAGAUAUCACGAAGAACUCCGAUUGCGAAGGCAGCCUGCUAAGCUGCAACUGACAUUGAGGCUCGAAAGUGUGGGUAUCAAACAGGAUUAGAUACCCUGGUAGUCCACACGGUAAACGAUGGAUACUCGCUGUUGGCGAUAGACUGUCAGCGGCUUAGCGAAAGCGUUAAGUAUCCCACCUGGGGAGUACGCCGGCAACGGUGAAACUCAAAGGAAUUGACGGGGGCCCGCACAAGCGGAGGAACAUGUGGUUUAAUUCGAUGAUACGCGAGGAACCUUACCCGGGCUUGAAUUGCAGACGAAUUGCUUGGAAACAGGCAAGCCGCAAGGCGUCUGUGAAGGUGCUGCAUGGUUGUCGUCAGCUCGUGCCGUGAGGUGUCGGCUUAAGUGCCGUAACGAGCGCAACCCUCGUGUCCAGUUACUAGCAGGUUAUGCUGAGGACUCUGGACAGACUGCCAUCGUAAGAUGUGAGGAAGGUGGGGAUGACGUCAAAUCAGCACGGCCCUUACGUCCGGGGCUACACACGUGUUACAAUGGGGGGUACAGCAGGCAGCUACCGGGCGACCGGAUGCCAAUCCCGAAAGCCUCUCUCAGUUCGGACUGGAGUCUGCAACCCGACUCCACGAAGCUGGAUUCGCUAGUAAUCGCGCAUCAGCCACGGCGCGGUGAAUACGUUCCCG